GAUGAACGCUGGCGGCGUGCCCAAUACAUGCAAGUCGAGCGAACAGACGAGGAGCUUGCUCCUCUGACGUUAGCGGCGGACGGGUGAGUAACACGUGGAUAACCUACCUAUAAGACUGGGAUAACUUCGGGAAACCGGAGCUAAUACCGGAUAACAUGUUGAACCGCAUGGUUCAACAGUGAAAGACGGUCUUGCUGUCACUUAUAGAUGGAUCCGCGCCGCAUUAGCUAGUUGGUAAGGUAACGGCUUACCAAGGCAACGAUGCGUAGCCGACCUGAGAGGGUGAUCGGCCACACUGGAACUGAGACACGGUCCAGACUCCUACGGGAGGCAGCAGUAGGGAAUCUUCCGCAAUGGGCGAAAGCCUGACGGAGCAACGCCGCGUGAGUGAAGAAGGUCUUCGGAUCGUAAAACUCUGUUAUUAGGGAAGAACAAAUGUGUAAGUAACUAUGCACGUCUUGACGGUACCUAAGCAGAAAGCCACGGCUAACUACGU
rnacentral:rRNA from 1 species